CACAUGCAAGUCGAGCGCCCCGCAAGGGGAGCGGCAGACGGGUGAGUAACGCGUGGGAAUCUACCCAUCCCUACGGAACAACUCCGGGAAACUGGAGCUAAUACCGUAUACGCCCUUCGGGGGAAAGAUUUAUCGGGGAUGGAUGAGCCCGCGUUGGAUUAGCUAGUUGGUGGGGUAAAGGCCUACCAAGGCGACGAUCCAUAGCUGGUCUGAGAGGAUGAUCAGCCACAUUGGGACUGAGACACGGCCCAAACUCCUACGGGAGGCAGCAGUGGGGAAUAUUGGACAAUGGGCGCAAGCCUGAUCCAGCCAUGCCGCGUGAGUGAUGAAGGCCUUAGGGUUGUAAAGCUCUUUCA
rnacentral:rRNA from 1 species